AUACUGCGGCUGCCUGCAGUCCCCUGCCCUGCCUGGAAGCGAAGAGAACAGAAAUGAGCUUGGGUCAUUUUGCUUACUAACCACAACAAAUGACUCUAACCACACAUAGAGCAGCGUACAGCACCUUACGGCCUGGCAUCGUCCCUGGCAGCAUCACCGCCGACGGCAGCGUGUCCCUGGGAACAGCCUUUGCAGGAAGAUGAAAAAUUGAAAAAGUCAGGCGCACGGUAUCUCCUCUUCAGAUACAAGCGAGAAGUACACACACACAGAUAUUUUUUACUGGAAGGAGGAGAACUCCAUCACGCAGAGAAGUGAGCUUGUCUCCUUCGGUUGCCUCUGCACACAGGGGGCCCGGGAAGCCACGGGGGGAGCCGCCAGUGCCGGGGGGGUCCAAGCACAGGGAAAAUGAAGCUCGUGCCCUUACAAGACACCGCGUGCCCUAUUUCCAGGUCUCACCCGUGGUCUAAAUCCGGCGGUCAGGAACGUGCUCUUCCUACCCUGCGUACCCUGCGGCGAUGCGAAUCCACCUGCCGUCACCCUGGACGGGAGCGGGAGCUCCCAAAAGAAUUCCAGGAGCUUUCUGGGGUGCAAUGACUGAUCCUGCACCCAAGGAGGAGGAUGUCCCCCGUCCCUCCGUGCUGUCCUGCAGGGGACGUGCACCCAGCAGAGCUCGCCGGCGUUUGGUUGCUCGGUCACUGCGGUACAGGCAGAUACACAGGGCGGUUUCAAGCGACGGGAGAUUGUACUGAUGUAUAAAAAUUGAAACUAUCUGUUUAAAGGAGGGCGGAGGGAGCAAUCCAAUGGAUUAUUCACAAAGACUCGAUCCCAGGUGAAUUUUGACAGAGCCCUGCUGUAGCCCUGUCCCGCACACCCAAGCACUCGUGCUACGGGAACAGGCAUCAUAAAAAUGUAUCUGCAACACAAAUAUCAGUAUGGGCAAUUGAAGUGAGCUCUGGUGGUAUCACUACUCGGCAGAGGAGGAGGUUUGAACAUACCUGAGCUGCUCCUCGGUACGCAUGCCCAGGGGUUUUUCCCUUCGCGGGCACCGGUGCUUCCCAUGUCCUGUGCAAGGCAUCGAUGCAGCCUGAGCGUUAGCGAUAAAUGGUCACAUCGAAAUAACACAUUUGCAGACCAAGAGUGAUUUUGCUACAAAAUCUACAAUUUCAAGCAGUGAAAGCACCUGAUCAGAGCAUAUAAUGCUUUGCUAGCAUACAAAUCAUGAGCAGAAGAGGGCAUUUCACUCAGUAAAGCUGCAAGUUUUGAAAUAACCUGAAUUUUUCUGGCCCAAAUUACUAAUUGCAAAUUAUUCACCCAGUUCUGGUAGAAUGUCCUGUUUUUGCUGAACUAAAACCAACUGUAUAGUACCCUCUUAGCCUACUGGGCUUAUCUCCAGAGCUCAAAGCUGUUCAACUUCCUUGUCUCUCUUUUCCCUCUCAUUUAUUUUCCAUAUGAUAAAUAAUAAAAAAAGGAUUUUUAAAGCAG